GGUAGCGUGGCCGAGCGGUCUAAGGCGCUGGUUUUAAGCACCAGUCAUUUCGAUGGCGUGGGUUCGAAUCCCACCGCUGCCA
rnacentral:tRNA from 1 species